GUCAGUGGCAGACGGGUGAGUAACGCGUGGGAACAUACCUCUUGGUUCGGAACAACACAGGGAAACUUGUGCUAAUACCGGAUAAGCCCUUACGGGGAAAGAUUUAUCGCCGAGAGAUUGGCCCGCGUCUGAUUAGUUAGUUGGUGUGGUAAAGGCGCACCAAGGCGACGAUCAGUAGCUGGUCUGAGAGGAUGAUCAGCCACAUUGGGACUGAGACACGGCCCAAACUCCUACGGGAGGCAGCAGUGGGGAAUAUUGGACAAUGGGCGCAAGCCUGAUCCAGCCAUGCCGCGUGAGUGAUGAAGGCCUUAGGGUUGUAAAGCUCUUUUGUACGGGAAGAUAAUGACGGUACCGUAAGAAUAAGCCCCGGCUAACUUCGUGCCAGCAGCCGCGGUAAUACGGAGGGUGCAAGCGUUGUCCGGAUUUAUUGGGUUUAAAGGGUGCGUAGGCGG
rnacentral:rRNA from 1 species